AACCACACGGGGUCCACAGCGAUCCCUGAUCCGCUACCCUUCCUUCGUCUCUCGCCACCGGACGCUUUGGGCUCGCUGCUCCCAUGGCGUCCUCUUUCUUCGUUCGCACUCAAGUAUCGCCCAUGACUCCGCUGCUGCCGGACGCCUCCCAGAGGUCGGCGUCGAUGCCCACUAUGUCCGAGAUCAUGGACGCCUCCCGGACGCAGGGCCUCCGCCUCCGCCUCCAGUCGCUGGGGCCCUUCUUCCGCGUGCGGGCGGAGGCCGAGGGCGGGGCGGAGCUGGGGAGGGCAGAGGGUGUCGUCAGGCCGUGGGUCGGGGGCAAGGUGCUGCACCUGGACUCCAUGAGGCUCAGCCGGGACACGCUCCGCAUGGACCGCUCUAUCUUCGGCUUCGGCCUCUUCAUUGGUGCCGCCGCCGUCCGCCACGGCUUCGACCGAGGUUGCCGCCGGGCCGAGCUCCUCGCCAUAAACGACUCGCCUCUCUUUCAUUCCAAGGGGAUGAAACUAUAUAUAUCAGCGACAACUGUUUACAUACAAGGGGGGUGGAGAACAUCAUCACCCACAUGCUGCUCAGGUCAGUACACCUCGCAAGGAAAGGAAAAUUAACUGCAGGAGCAGGUGGUGGGCACUGAAGAAGUUCUCUGAGGUAGCCUUUCAAGUCCUCCUUGUGAGUCAACUUGACUCUUCUAUAUGCUACGAGUUGCAGUGAACCUUGGAUGCUUGUCAUACUCCUGCCAGUGAUAUAAAGUGGUGGAUGAUCCAUAUAUUAAACCAGUUUUAGCCAGUGACUGGAAUCUGAAGCUGGUGGCACGCCACAAAGCAGCAACAGGAAGCGCCGAGCAAUUCCAAACACAGUGCAGCCGCCUGGCACAGCUGCUGCAUCCGAUAGCACCAGAAGCCUCUCGUUGCUCUGAGACCAUCAGCUUCACCACUUCCAACACCGAGCAUAAGAAACAAGUAAAAGAAGGGGGCAAGCAUUCAUGGACGAGUGACAAGAGAUGGGAAACAAAAGGACAACUCGCAAUUCAUUCCUACAAAGUCACUCGAUGGCUUCUGUCCUCGGGGAUGUGUUUGUCUUCCUCCAGACUUUUUUGACUGCACUCGGCCGGCCUUCCUUUCACUUUGAGCUACGUCUUUUACCCCCUUCUCUGCCCAGGUCCUCAAAGCCAUACUCGUAUGAAGCUAGCUAAUAAACCGUACUUUUGUUGCAGAACAUGUCAUGGUCCAUUAGCAUCCGAUUUCCACUCGGAUCAUUGCAACCUUCUUCUCUUGCUGCUUGUCGUCGCAAGAGAGACAGUGCAGCCGGUGCCGGUGUCGGUGGUGCUCUCACAGUUUGCAGGUGAUGUCCCGGAUGAAGCCAGAAACGUCGCUGCUCUCGCCUUCUCCUUGUGUGACUCGAGAACAAUGAGACUGUAGCAGGAGAACACAUACUCCUGUCCACACAAACAUGUUGGUGCAUUAACACAUGAGUCAACUUCUAUUUCCUAAGAAACCAAUAUAUGCAUAGCUUAUAGCUUCA